rnacentral:rRNA from 1 species
GACGAACGCUGGCGGCGUGCUUAACACAUGCAAGUCGAACGGAAAGGCCUGCUUUUGUGGGGUGCUCGCGUGGCGAACGGGUGAGUAACACGUGAGUAACCUGUCCUUGACUUUGGGAUAACUUCAGGAAACUGGGGCUAAUACCGGAUAGGAGCUCCUGCUGCAUGGUGGGGGUUGGAAAGUUUCGGCGGUUGGGGAUGGACUCGCGGCUUAUCAGCUUGUUGGUGGGGUAGUGGCUUACCAAGGCUUUGACGGGUAGCCGGCCUGAGAGGGUGACCGGCCACAUUGGGACUGAGAUACGGCCCAGACUCCUACGGGAGGCAGCAGUGGGGAAUAUUGCACAAUGGGCGGAAGCCUGAUGCAGCAACGCCGCGUGCGGGAUGACGGCCUUCGGGGUGUAAACCGCUUUCGCCUGUGACGAAGCGUGAGUGACGGUAAUGGGUAAAGAAGCACCGGCUAACUACGUG